AAUAACCGGUAGAUGGUUCUGCAGUAUGCGCUUUUGGACUUGUUAUCGAUCUGAUCCGUCUGUUGUUGCCGGACACGAGCCAAGACAAUUGUGCGUUGACAGUUGCACACCACCAAUUAACGGCGCCCUUGCAGCCGUUUCUUAGUUGUGUAUAUAUGCUUCGCUGACACUCUGAACAUGAAAAUUUGAGUUGGAAAUCGCCAACACGUCUUAAGGUCAACUGUCAGAAGAAAGACAAGCAUAUAUUCCAGGUAAACUUCACGUAUGCAAAUCUGAGGUUGAUGUUUGAAGAUUUCCAGCCUGCGGUGUAUGGCGGACGCCUCUGCCACUUCGAGGCAACACUUUUACCGGUAUUUCCAGCUGUGCAAUGUAAUUUGGCAACAUAUAGUUUGAUCCUGUAUCAGAAACGGUUUUGGUGCAAAUGUUGCCUGUUUGUUUACACUUGUAUCUGAUAUGAUAACGUAAUACUGUUUGAGUAUGUAUUUGUGAAUAACCAUUUUGAUUUUUCACCAUUUCUAUUCUUGAUCAGAUUUUGACAUUAUGUUAAAAACUUGAACCAUUACUGUGACUCCUGUAUUAUUUCUUUAGUGUUCUUAGACAAAUACAAGAUUUUAUUUUGGAUGGUUACACAGUA